AGCUUAUGGUAUUUAAUCCCCGAUUAAAAGCCUAUCCAUUAAGAUAGAAGAUAGAUUGCUUAUCUUUUGUUCGAAAUUAUUAAAUAUUCUGUAGAUAACAAGUCAAUAAUGCAUGCAUUUGUGACAUGGAUUUAGGCAAUGCAUUUGUGACAUAGAUUAUGCACUUACCAUGGCUCCAUUGAAGUAAAUUGCAUUUGAAGAGAAUGCAUUUCCCCAAUAACGUUGUGUUUAAGGAGUUAAUGGGAUCCAAGUAAUUAAUAUCUUCUUCUUUUUCUUUUUCGUUUGUUUUAUAUUUACACUACAAGAAAUUACCACUUUUAGCGGCGACACUUUUAGCGGCGACAUCUAAAAAGUCGCCGCUAAAAGUCUUAAUCCGGGACAAGGGAUUUAGAAUUGAUCUGGACCGUUCUUUACUGAACUAAUCGAAGGGCUAGGGUUUAUCCCUACAUAAAACAUGUGUAAAAAGGCUCACAUCUGUUUUGGCGGCAUUUUUCCCUCUUCCCUCCAAGAUGAAAUCUUCACACACCCCUGGAGGACAACCUUGAAUCUGCCGGAGAGCCUCACCACCUUCAAUCUGCCAUAGCACCUCCAUCUCGUCUUGCUGAUUGUCCGACGCCCUUUGAAAACGGAGGGAAUGGUGUGCAAUGUCGGUCAACAUGUCAUGUCACCGUUAACGCCCCAAAUGUUAGAGUACAUCCAACGCCCAUUUAUUAACACAAGGAAGGAGUGGUGUGCAAUGCCGGUCAACAUAUCAUGUCACCGUUAACACCAUAAAUGUUAGAGUACAUCCAAAGGCGUUAUAAGGACAAACGUUCUAUCUUCUCACAAACAAAAGAAUAUAGUCUGAGAAGCUAAAGAGAAAAUAGAAAGGUUUUUUCAGAUGUUAAAAUAGUGAGUGCAAAUGGAGGACUGCAUAGGAGUGAUAUGAAGGUCAAGAAUCUGAAUAAAAUACUCUAAUUCUUUUUGAUA